rnacentral:tRNA from 1 species
AGUUUUUAUAGUUUAAUUUAAAAAACAUUGAUUUUGUAUAUCAAAAAUAUAUACUAAUUAUUAAAAAU